CGUAGGGUGCAAGCGUUAAUCGGAAUUACUGGGCGUAAAGCGUGCGCAGGCGGUUUUAUAAGUCUGAUGUGAAAUCCCCGGGCUCAACCUGGGAACUGCAUUGGAGACUGUAAGGCUAGAGUGUGUCAGAGGGGGGUAGAAUUCCACGUGUAGCAGUGAAAUGCGUAGAUAUGUGGAGGAAUACCGAUGGCGAAGGCAGCCCCCUGGGAUAACACUGACGCUCAUGCACGAAAGCGUGGGGGAGCAAACAGGAUUAGAUACCCUGGUAGUCCACGCCCUAAACGAUGUCUACUAGUUGUCGGGUACUUAAUUGACUUGGUAACGCAGCUAACGCGUGAAGUAGACCGCGUGGGGAGUACGGUCGCAAGAUUA
rnacentral:rRNA from 1 species